rnacentral:lncRNA from 1 species
AGACAGGAAGAUAUGGUCCCAUGUCGCACAAGAGUUCACCAAGGUCUAUGUGUGACUUAGCAGUGCGAGUCGUUCCAAGGCAAGUCCAUGUCGCACAAGGGAGUACAGGCCAAGCCAGUGAUGUCUAGCCUCACCUGGUGCAGCCACUCACUCCACCUUUGCAUAAAACCACACCAGGUAUCACUCCAACCACUUGUAAAUGAGCAU